rnacentral:rRNA from 1 species
GACGAACGCUGGCGGCGUGCUUAACACAUGCAAGUCGAACGGAAAGUCCCCAUUUGGGGUACUCAAGUGGCGAACGGGUGAGUAACACGUGCGUAACCUGCCUUUCACUUCGGGAUAACUACCUGAAACUAGGGCUAAUACCGGCUAGAUAUCCUUGCAGCAUAGAUGGGGUUGAAAAGCUUCGGCGGUUUUGGCUGGCACGUCGGCUUAUCCGCGUGGUGGUGGGGUAGUGGUUUACCAAGGCGUUGACGGGUAGCCGGCCUGGGGGGGCGACCGGCCACAUGGGGCCUAAGAGACGGCCCAGAAUCGUACGGGAGGCAGCAGUGGGGAAUCUUGCGCAAUGGGCGGAAGCCUGAUGCAGCAACGCUGCGGGCGGGAUGACGGCUUUCGAGUUGUGAACCGCUUUCAGCAGGGGCGAAGCUUGUGGUGACGGUACCUGCAGAAGAAGCAACGGCUAACUACGUG